CAAGUACUCCCUCCGUUCUAAAUUACUCGUCGCAGAAAUGGAUGUAUCUAGAACUAAAAUAUAUCUAGAUACAUCCAUACCUACGACAAGUAAUUCGGAACAGAGGGAGUACGUU
rnacentral:pre_miRNA from 1 species